GGAUAUCUCGGAUGUUGCGGGGGACGGGUGGGGCUGGGGGGUUCCAGCUGAAGGAAAACCUGGUGUUCCUUCCCAUCCCUCCACGGAUUCCCAGGAGGCGAAGGCUGGGAGAGCUGUGGGGCUUGCCUGGAGAGGGGCUGGUGUUUGCUGCCGGGUGCAUCGCUGUGGAGGUGGCAGAGUGCGGGAGGCUUUGUUGUUUGGCCUCGCGGGGCGAGCUGCAGUGAUUAAUCAGCCUGCACUUAGCAGGAGAGUGCGGGAGAGGCUCUGCUGACCUCGGUGCUGAGGUUCACAGCAGCCUCCCUCUCUUUGGGUGUGCUGUGAGCGAGGAGGAGACGUGUUUUGCUUCCAGGUGAAGCUUCUUCUGGCUCGCGGGAGCCUGCUGGAAAAUCCUCGGGGAGAUGCGGUAUUCUGGGAUGAGAGGAAGGGCCCUAAGUCCUGGGAAGUAAAUUCAAGGAGAGGACUGAAGGAAUGUUGCCAGUCAAAGGCCUCACCAGUUUAUGAGACAGCAGAAUGCAAUGACUACAAGCUGGAUUGUGGGAAAUGAGACUGCACCCUCUGUUUAUAAAUGUAGCUGCUACAGUGGCUCAAAAUAAAAAUGCUCCUCAUGAGCAUAA